CCCACCCGCCCUCCGCUCUUUGCGCAUCUUUCCUCCUGACCCUUAUUAGAAGGAUGAAAGAGGUCCCUGGGGUGUGAACGAUGACGUCGCAUGGGCGAAAGAGAAAAAGGUGAAUAUACGUGAGCUUGCCAGGGGAAUGGAUCUGGCUCAUGUGCUGUAGUUUGCUGACCCCUGGACCCUCUUCCUGGACUCUUUAAUCCUGAGCACAGUCUCAAGAGUCACUGCUUCCUCUCCAGACAUCUUGUUCCCAACUAGCUUCUCUAGCUGGAUAAAAGGAGCAGAGUCUCCUCUUAUCAUCCAAGACAUGAAGCUCCCAAUGGACUCCCCUGGUUUCUUUGGCCACAUGGGCUGCAUGCUAUGACCAUUUGUCUUUUGCUACCUUUUGACUUUUUUCCCACUUGUACCCAAUGAUGCAGCAACUGAGACUUAAAGCAUAUAAACUGUUUGAAUGGGAAGUACUUAAGGAAGUGAGUUAUAUUCAUGUCGGUGUUCUCACAUGAAUUAAAGGACUUCGUUUUAUAAAACAUAAAUGUAAUUAGGUCUUUGGUAUAAAUACUAAACACUUAACAUACAUUGGUGUUUAAUCCUAACACAAACAAUAGGAGUUUUUUCUCUCAGUUUUACAGAUGUAGAAUCUGAGGUUCAGAGAGGUUAAGUGGAUUUCCAAAGAUCACACAGUUAGUGGUGACACAGGCAAUAGUCCAACCCCAAGUCCCUCCUCUUUUCCAAUUGCAUACAUUUUGCUUAGGAACACCAUUGCAGAGAAAAUGUCCUGUGACAUUUUGAAGUCUAUCUGAGCACCAUCAGACAAAUACAGAUGUGACCAACAUGAAGAAUGUUUUAUUUCAAUAGUUGCAUCUUUUAAGCACAUGCAAGAAUAAUUUACACAGUAUAAUUUUUUAACUUUCAAUAAUAGUUUGUCCAGAAUCUUAAGUUUGUAUUAGACACUAUAUUAUUAAUUUUUAAAAAGACAAACAGUAUUAACUAUCUUGUUUCCUGUUGUUCUAGCUUGCCAGUGUCAGAAAUAAGAUCAGAUGUCAUCAUUUUCUCACCUAUUUGAAAUGGUUUAUGGUACCAUGUGGUUAAUAGGAAGUUAACUAGACCUAAAAUUUACUUUCAGCAUCUCUAGGAAGCCUGUUGACAGUCUCAGGGUGAAUAAUUAAUAAUUAAUUAGCAUUGAUUAUGGAACUCCUCAUGAAAUUUAAAACACCCUAAUGGAAAUAGAUAGCUUUAAAAAAAUCAUUUGAAAUAAGAAACUUACUGAAGUUGAAUUACUAAAGCAGUGAUAUAUGUAGAUCAUGAUCUCAAGUUAAAUAUCUUCCAUGACCCUCAAAAUAAUUGGGGUUUACAAGUCCCUGACACUUCUUAUGUCGUCCCCUCUAUUACAAAUUCCUCCAUAGUUCUAAAUGCCCUUUCAGUCCAAUGAAUAUAAGUGGUAUCGUGACAGUAGCUUUGUUUUGUUUCUAAUCUAACCCAAGGAGAUUGGAGUUGAGGUACUUAGAUAAACCUUGGCUGAGAAUUCAGGAAACAAAAGGAAUUAGAGACAAAAUGUUAAAGAAAUAGGGGUCCAGGACCUAAAGAAAUACAGUAAGCUCUGAGCCAUAUUCCUUUCAGUGUUACAGGCAAGUUCAGCCAUUAGAUGGCAGCAAUGGAAGCAGGAACUUCUAGAAUAUAAGAAGCCCUGGGUGAAUGCACAUACUUGGACAUCUGGAUCCUGCUUCAAGAGCUCUGGAAUCUCCAAAGGCUCUAUCUGGAAUGGAGUUCUUUAGGAGGUGCCACAUCACUGAAGUGAUCCUCGGUCUCCUGUUCACAGUCCAGAUAGAAGUCUGAGUGCUAAAGUAUUAAGCAGAUGUUACCAAGCCAUGGUAACAAAGGGUCUCUCAGAAGUCAGCUCAGUUUAGACCAAGAAAAUCAACUAGAAGUAAGAGAGACACCAUAGCACUUCAGUAAGAAGCAGGAUGAUGAAAGGGCUUAGGCUACAUAUCAGAAUAGAGCAAAAAGCAGACCUGACUGAGAACCAGAAAUGUUAACACAGAAACCAGUACCAAAGACCUAGGCUGGGUCCCAGGCUCUUCUAGUUAUUAAGUAGUGGUGGUGGACAUAGGGGCAGGCUAGGAGGGAUCUUGGCAAUGGAGAGUCAUCAUGUACUUGGGAGUAGUUCAGUUUCUUGGACUAUACUGAAGGUAUCUGUGACAGCUAAAAUCAAAUGGUGUAGAUCAUUCUUCCUUUUCAUUAGCUGUUAAAGCAAAUACAGUGAUGAGAAAUAAAACAAGGGUGUCAGUCAAAAAAAGAAGGCUGGUCAAUGAUUUUUCCAGUUGAAAAGAAAAUAGGGGUGAGGGGUGGAGGAACAGACCUCAUCACAAAGAAUUGCAGUAGGGAGUUUACUGCUAGUACAAUGCCUUGCAUUCUUGGUUGUGCCAUUUUAUAAAGCAUGACUUGGUCUCAAGAUGAUCUAGAACUUUCUUUAGUUUUCUAGACAAGUCUAAAGCAGAGAUGGUGGUUGGAACAGGAAGUACCUAGGGACAGUGAGAGUAGAAAAACAGGGCCAAACUACUAACUGAAGAAGAGCUGAGAACUUCUGGUGUUCUAAACAAAUACACUUAGAUUUGAGCCAUCAUUUGCAUUUCCUGAGGAAAAAUGUGCUCAGGAAAUCUAUUCCCCUGGCAUACUUUUUGGUUAAAUCAGACUUAAGGCUGCUUGUAUUGGGUUGUCUGUUUGAUCCAGGCCCCAUAAUUAAGCAAGAAUCAGUCACCCACCCUUCAAGUCAAAGGAUCUAGUGCUAGCACAACCUCAAGAAAGCUCCUACUAGGUCCCAAACAGUCCUCCUCUUUCACAUCAGGAUCCAAGCUCAUACUCUUGGUUAGUCAGGUUUGGAACAGCAGAAGUGGUCCUGAGGUUAAAGGAUUGGAGGUAAACAAAACCAGAUACUCCUCAGCCAGAGAACCCUGGGUUUGUUUCUUACACAAACGAGGCAGGAGAGCCCACAGGAAGUCUCACAUGUAGAGAUCUCUGAACAUUUUGAGUUUCAGAUUUUGAUCACCAUGAAUCUAGGCCCUCAGGCCAUGAAAACAAGCUGAGAACAGCCCUUGCUCCCAGAACAGUGAGGGGGAGACUGAGAAUGUUGUCCGUUAGCUACAGAAUGCUGGUCCCCAUGCUGCAAGGCCACAUUUAGGUGUGUCACGUUAGAGUCAGUAGAAGCACUGAGAGAAUCCCACAAGCGCUAGAAGAAAGUGCCCACAGCUGAGGUCCUGUAUGGACCUGGAGACAGGCUCCAGCCAGUUGUCUGUCAUUAAAGAUGUAGCCCAGGUUGGCAAAGAUUUAGUCUUAUUAGAAGGGGUAUGAAAAAAUACAACCCCCAUCCCUCCAGACAAGGCAGUUUCCAGAGCAAGCAUUGGCCAGGAAGCCAGAGUUCCAAGUCAUGUGCGGGUACUGGAGUGGACAGCAUGAAGCAGGCCAGACAGGGCUGUCAGGCCUUUCAUAUGGAGCUGAGCCACCUCCACCUGUGGUGUACACUGGACACACUGAUAGAGGUCUGCUGUAAACAGCUGGGGCUUAAGCCCCUCUCUGCUGUGACGCACUUCAGUUUCCAUUGGAGAAAAACCUGUAGCCUAGAAUUAAAAAGCUGGUUUACUGCUUCUUACAUCAUCGCUGUUUCUCUCCCCUGAGGUUUGUUGGGGCUUGUCCACAAAUGCUGUCAUAGGGGCUGUUACUCACCCAACAGGUUUUUUAUCCAUUGAGAAAUGGACUUUAGCCUGAUUUUCAUGUGAUCAGUAGAAGAGUCCCUGACGAGGCUCAAGAUCCUAGAAAACUAGAAAAAGGUAAGUCAACACCAAAUAACUAGGCAGGACUCUCACUCCUCCACACACAUCAAACCAUUGGUGAAGUCAGCCGCACUGUUGAGAUGUCCCAUGUGCUGGGCCUUCAAAAGUUGCUGCUCCUCACUGAGGAAGAAGAUGUAACCCUCAAAGCAGCAUUCUCUUCCAGUAACUGAUGGUCUGAACACCACAGAGCCACAGCUUUACCAGAGUUAAGGCAAGGCCCGGAAGGCACAAGUGAGGCUGCUAGUCCACUCCAGUUUUACUUUGCAAGUUAGGUUGUCAAAAACAAGUCUCCAACUCCUUGUUGGACGUAGAGACCUAAACAAUACAUAUGCACUCAAGUAAGGUCAGAACACAUUCAGUUAGUCCAGCAGCAGCUGAGAGGAGGAGAAGCCACCAGCAGGAGUCAGGACCUCCGCGGCUGCCCUUGGCAAGGCCUGGUUAAACCCAAAGAAAAGACACAGAACUACACUUAGAAUGAGAUGUGGAUUCCUCAGUGCUGCCAGAAAACAGAACAUCCAGAAAGCAGGACAGAAUUUUGAGUGAUGUGCAAGCAACACAAGGUAGAGUCUUCACAAAAUAGUAACAAAAAAGGAGAUCCAACAGCAGGCAAUUCUUGGAAUUCCCAGCAAAGGCCUCAGGGUCUCAGUUCUCAGGGAAAGCAUGUUCAGGAUACGGGUCUGGAAGCAGUGGAGAGGAAGAACAUCUGAAGAACUCACACACUAACCCUGAAACUGAGCGGCAGGGAGGAGCCCUGUGGGGGCCCUAAAUCUUUCCUGGGGGAAACUGCUGGGACACGUUAGCCUACAGAUGAGAGGUCAAGGGACUCCAAGUGUGUUGAAAAGGCGCUCUUAAUGAGAACAAACCAAGCCUUGGAAACAGAUUGGGCUGGCAGGGGGUGCAGGUAGGUCUGAUUUAUAUUCCUACAGUGGUCAGGAAGGUCACAGGGCGUAGUCUCUUCAACUUUUUAUUAAGGCAUUUUCCCCUAGUUAAUCUAUAAGUUCUUUGAAGGCCACAGCUUUUACUUUUGUAUUAAACUAUAGCAACCAGGAAUGAGUACUCCUCAUAAAUAGUGCCAAUAUAUGUUUGUUGAUUUAGUCUGUUUACUGGUUUAAA